AUUGAACGCUGGCGGCAGGCCUAACACAUGCAAGUCUAACGGUAACAGGAAGAAGCUUGCUUCUUUGCUGACGAGUGGCGGACGGGUGAGUAAUGUCUGGGAAACUGCCUGAUGGAGGGGGAUAACUACUGGAAACGGUAGCUAAUACCGCAUAACGUCGCAAGACCAAAGAGGGGGACCUUCGGGCCUCUUGCCAUCGGAUGUGCCCAGAUGGGAUUAGCUAGUAGGUGGGGUAACGGCUCACCUAGGCGACGAUCCCUAGCUGGUCUGAGAGGAUGACCAGCCACACUGGAACUGAGACACGGUCCAGACUCCUACGGGAGGCAGCAGUGGGGAAUAUUGCACAAUGGGCGCAAGCCUGAUGCAGCCAUGCCGCGUGUAUGAAGAAGGCCUUCGGGUUGUAAAGUACUUUCAGCGGGGAGGAAGGGAGUAAAGUUAAUACCUUUGCUCAUUGACGUUACCCGCAGAAGAAGCACCGGCUAACUCCGUG
rnacentral:rRNA from 1 species